UGGGGAUGACGUCAAGUCCUCAUGGCCCUUAUAGGUGGGGCUACACACGUCAUACAAUGGCUGGUACAAAGGGUUGCCAACCCGCGAGGGGGAGCCAAUCCCAUAAAGCCAGUCGUAGUCCGGAUCGUAGUCUGCAACUCGACUACGUGAAGUCGGAAUCGCUAGUAAUCGUGGAUCAGAAUGUCACGGUGAAUACGUUCCCGGGUCUU
rnacentral:rRNA from 1 species